rnacentral:rRNA from 1 species
UACGGAGGGUGCGAGCGUUGUCCGGAAUCACUGGGCGUAAAGGGCGCGUAGGCGGUCCGGUAAGCGCGUGGUGAAAUCCCGAGGCUCAACCUCGGGUCUGCAGUCGAUACGGGCAUCACUGGAGUUCGGCAGGGGAGACUGGAAUUCCUGGUGUAGCGGUGAAAUGCGCAGAUAUCAGGAGGAACACCGGUGGCGAAGGCGGGCUC